rnacentral:rRNA from 1 species
GCAGUAGCCGCGGGAACACGGAGGGUGCAAGCGUUAAUCGUAAUUACUGGGCGUAAAGCGUGCGUAGGCGGUUCGUUAAGUCUGUUGUGAAAGCCCCGGGCUCAACCUGGGAAUGGCAAUGGAUACUGGCGAGCUAGAGUGUGUCAGAGGAUGGUGGAAUUCCCGGUGUAGCGGUGAAAUGCGUAGAGAUCGGGAGGAACAUCAGUGGCGAAGGCGGCCAUCUGGGACAACACUGACGCUGAGGCACGAAAGCGUGGGGAGCAAACAGGAUUAGAUACCCGGGUAGUCCCUGUCUCUUAUAA